GCCCAGCUAGCUCAGUCGGCAGAACAUGAGACAUAAUUUCAGGGUCGUGGGUUGGAACCUUACAUUUGGUG